AGCUACACACAAACCUAAUCGAUGUACUGCUGUCUGCCUAUGGCUGGGCCAUCUUCUUCUCGCACAAGGAAAAGUGGCACUCGGAAAUGAUCCAUUUGCGUCCAUUUAAAAGGAACCAGCUGAGACCAGAGAGAGUAUGUGUCAAAUGCAAUGCAAGGCAGCUAGAAUAAACCUGAAAGAGGCUGAGAGAUCUAGCAUAUCAAGUUUACUGAAUUUGCUCCGGUGAAGUAAGGAGCUCGCCAGCUCCUUCUGCCAGUUGAGUUGUGUACUCCACGUAUUACUGGAUCUUGUUCCAGUACCCCUGCGGCCCGUCAUCAUAUAUCAUCCAGAGGCAACAAUUAACAGAUCGUCGACAUGAAGCUCUUGUUCCAGUGCCCCUGCUGCUCAUGCUUCUGCUUCGUCAAGGCCAAGAAGAGCAGCAGCGGCGUGGGCGUCGGCGGCAAGAAAGAAGGAGGCCACAAACUGCAAGGGGCAGUGUAGUGGCUGAUCUGGUCUUGCAUUACUUCCAUUUCAAUUAAAUUUAACUCUGCAUGCAUGCAUGCUUGUUGAGCCAGCAGUUUUCUCUUCAGUUGUUCCAUCUCUGGGCCUGCAGACCAGCUACUAUCUAUAUACUGCAUGCAUGCAUGUCUUUGGAAUUUGAGACUUGUGAAUCACAGAGUGUCGUGUAUUCGUGUGUUGGGAUUGUAUGCAUUAAUUAAGGGAUUUAUCCCUCUGCAGAGCAUAUAGUUUGUUUCUUCAGAUUAAUUAAGUUUUCUCCUCAGCUUUUGUUAGUGGCCUUCUAUCUCAGUUACUUGUUUUUUUCUUCUGGGGGAGGAAUUCAGCGACCGUCUCUUGUGCUAAUGAACCAGUUAUUGGGUGGAUCGAAAUUAAUUAUCAAUGCAAUGUGAUGCAAUGUUUGCAACGGUGGAUCUUGCUGAAAGUGAAAUACAGCAGCAGCUUGCAACGUCCUAAACAUAGGAGAGAUUAGCAGAAAUUUUUCACAUUACCUUUCUUCUUUAGAAUUGAAAUUUUUAUAUUACCUUAUCUUCCACUGGAAAGCCCAUAACUAAGCCCAAGUAACUUAC
rnacentral:lncRNA from 1 species